GGUUAGGUUUGGAGUCUCUGGAAAUAAAGAUCCUAACACCUUUUAAAUAAUAAUCAGCCUUAUAUGAACAUCAGCAGGCAUGUAAUGAGUGUUUUUUUUUGUUUAAAGAUAGAUACAAAUCUCUUACUUUAGUUCUCAUGAUUCAUGUUAAAUGUGAGAAAUAAUCUGAUCACGGAGAGGAAACAUUUUUCAUCAUCCUAUGUCAGAUCACGUAACCUUUUUUUUUUUUUUUAAUUAAUUAAUUUAUUUUUGUUCGAUAGUGAAUCGGAAAAAAUAUCUAAACCUUCGUCAAACUUAUCUCACCAUGAUUAGUCAUAACAAACUGUUGUUUAACACGUCUUAUGUAUCAUUUUGCAGCAGAUAUAUGUUUGUUUGUAAUAUUUUUCAAAGCACCUCUUGGUGGCUUUUUAACCCUGAGUACAUCCUGUAUUAAACUGUUCUUGUUGGCCCAAUUCACUAAGGGAUUACAUGGCUUAUACACUUAUCAAUCUUGUGCAAAUAAGUUAAAACAACAUGGUCCAAGUCACAAAGCACAGGCAAAGAACUGAAUGCUCCACAAGCUGUGCUGCAAACAGCGUCUCUGUGCAUUGGUGCAGUUUGCUUACAUUUAAAUGAGCCAUCUCAUCCACCAGAUCAGAUCAACAGGUGAGACGUGUCCUUCUACAUACAACCCAGAUAUGGAGCAGAGAUGUGCAAAUGAUGCAUAACUUUUGGUGCUAUUGGUGAAUCAGGCCCUGUGUGUUUAAGUCAAUAAGUCAGACUUAAUAUGACUGGAAAACGCUACUUAAGAGCAUCAUCAUAUUGACAGGUAUCAGGUAUAGAUCCACUGCCCACAACCAAUUUACUGGACUUUCCACUCUCCCCUAAUGUAUUUCACUGCAUUUUUAAUAUAUUCUCUAUAUCUUUGCAUGGUGGGCUGCAGAGAAAUGUCUUAUUCAAUUCCAGUGUAUGUACUCACAUAUGACAGAAAUGGACAAUAAAAAAACUGAAUCUUGAGUAUACUGUGUCUGUGUGUAUCCUUCCUUUUUUUUUUUUUGCACAAAGUUUCAUCUGUGAAUAAACGUUUUAUGAACAAGUACUGGUGUAAUGUCUUGCUCCCACAAACUCCUUUACUGCAUGUCAAAUCCAUCUAUCCACAUACUCUCCUCCCAACAUUUUUCACAUUCAGUUAGAAAAAUCUGAUACAGCAUAUUCAAUUAUAUUGACCUGCAGGGAGAUGAAGAAAUAAUUAGAUGGACACGAUCCUCAAGAAACCACUGCUCCGCCUUACUGCUGCACCUACUUGAUAGUUGUAACUCUGUUGCAUGUGAUUCAUACACACCCAAAACUCUGGGAGAGGCUUUGUGUGUUAGUAUAACACCAUCAUGCGCAACAGACUGGAGCUUUAAGUCCCACAUCUAAAGCCUUUCAGUGAGCGCUCACACACUCUUCCAAUGUGAUCAAUAAUCGCUCUAUACUCACAGCACAAAACAUACUGACUCUUCUACACACGCAGCACAGAGAGCCAAAUCCACUAAGGAAAUGUGAGACUUGAAAAAACAGAAAUUAUAUACUCUGAGGCAGGCAUCAAACCACAGUGGGCCCAUGUAGCCAAGAUAACAACAGCAAAGCACUUUCUAAAUGACAAAAUGAUACUGGCUGCAGUCCACAGCACUCUCCCUCUCUUCCUCUGUUAGUCCUCUUCUCAAACACAGACAGCCUCUCAAACAGUCCGUCGUACCAUCAAAACAGAAAUCUUCUUUGACAAUAUGGUCUUCCUUCCUCUGAACUAAGCUGAUGGAGAACAAUAUUUGUGCAGUGACUGAGGUUAAACGUAUUUCACCUUCAUCCAUGCUGCUGGCGACUGGCUGCCGGCUGUGCUCUUACGUAUAAGCCUGCCCGUUUAUUUUCCCGCCCUGCAGAGGGGCUCCGCAUGAAGUUUCAUUCGCAUGAAGCCAGUCGAGCUGGAAGCAAAAGGGAGGAGUGAAAAGAGGGCAGGGGAGUUGUUUUUGUUACCACACUCAGUGCAAUGAUGCAAUUCAUAAUUAAAAUGCUAAUUUUAACAACAGGGAGUCUCUCUUUACCUUGUUUUCAUUUUACUCCAACAGUCACUCCAACAGUCUCGGGGGAGGCGGGUCUCUGCCUGGGAUCAAUGUAUCCCAGUCAGUAAAUCAAUUUUUAUACCAAGCACUGAAAUCAAUUUGAGAUUAAGGCUUUAACAGAAUCUGUACAAAGUGAGCUGCAUGGACACACGUGCCUGCCUGUGGCCAAGAAACAUUUUUUCCACUUUGCUAUGAUUAUGUGUGUGGGAGCUUUAAAGGCUCACAUCCCUAAACUGAGGGCUAAAAGCAAUUAUUUGGGCAACAAGAAAACUCAAGGCCUGUCUGACACAUUCGCCAUCAGCCUGUCUCUGUUUUGACUCUAGCUUAUCACAAUAGGUGCCUCAAACAUCCCCUAAGCUUCAAUCUCGACAAACAACAAAGACAAACGCCGUGGAAUGAAUCAUUUGAUGGGAGUUUCAUUUCAGAAGUGAGCCUGACAGACAAAACAGAGGGGGAAUCAGAGGAGAGGAGGCCUUUUUUAGUGGUUGUCCUUCAGCGUGACUUUGUCAUGUAACACAUUUCCAGCUCAAUUAUCUGCAUCCAGUGGAUUUCAAACACAUUUAGCAAGGACCAGAGAGCUUGGUAAUUAGCAGGAGCCCUGGCUCAUAAGGGGGCCAAAAACAAAGCCUGUCUUUAGCGCUAUCUUUAUCCCCUCCGCUUGUCUAAUCUCUUCUGAUCCUUUUGCUUUUCACAGAGGGUGCUGUACGUCAUGUGUGCACUCAGUCAAUACCUUUACACACCAACAGGUUUCAGCUUUCGGAUACGGAGGCAUGACACAAGACAAGAUACUCCAUCUGUAUGAACAGGCUUAGAAAAUAAGAAAACCUGUCUGAUGGCUAUCAGCAAGGACGCUGUAUGUAACAUGCAGCAAAAUAUAUUUAUAAGAUGGCAGUUUUUUCUUUAAAAUAUGGAGACAUAAAGUGUCUAGAAAAUUUUGCAAAAGCAAAUUGCUGAAACCUACCCUUACCAAAAAGAAGUAUGUUGAAGUGUACUUCAAGUAUACUGUGUUUAAACUAAGUAUGCUUUCAGUUGACUUUUUAUGCACUUUUCAGAGAUAUACUUCACAGUUAUUAUUAAGUUUACUUGGCUUGUACUAAGAAUUAUAUUAAAACUCUAAAUAUAUUUAACCUUUACUUAGACAUAAACUUCUGUUCCAGAUAUACUUAAGUAUGUAUUUGUGCCUUAGGUUUAAGUAUACUUGGUCAGUGAAUAUUUCAUUUAUCUUUUUAAGAGUAUACUCUCUGAGUGUACUCUUAAAAAGAUAAGCAGUAAAAGCCAAGUAUACAAAUAUGUACUACUAUUGAAAUAAUAGUAUACCAAUGCUUCAGAGUCAGAGUGCAGAUAGCCGAGUAGAUUAACUGUGGUCCUCACUGUGAUCACGAGUUUGAUUCCUGUUCUGACCAUGUGCCGCAUGUCCGUCUGCCCCCCCCCCCCCCCCCCCUACCCCACACACACACACACACACACACACACACACACACACAAACAAAGAAUAUUAAUAAAGGUAUGCUUCAGAGUGAACUUUUAUAAACUAAAAGAGACUGGAAGUUUAUUACUAGUAAGUAUACCUAUAAGUUUACUUUCAAGUAUGCUUCAAGCGUACUUUAAUAAACUAAAUUGAGCCAAUUUGGUCCCAAGAAGUUUACUUUUAAGUACACUGGUGGUAUAUUUGUAUCAGUGUACAAAGCAUACUUUGAGAAGUAUACUAAAAUGAACUUAAGUAUACUUUAUAAAAUGUACUUUAGGUAUACUUUUUUCUUGUAAGAGUAGUGAUAUCACAUGUACACUUGCGGCAGUAGUAGAUCCAGAGGUUCCCACUGCUGGAAUUUGGAAAUACUAAGAUUGAAAAAGAAAGAAAACUUCCUCAACUUUCAUCUGUAGUGUUUCAUGACAGUUUUCAGAUUUUGUCAACUCCUUCUCCUGUACUAGUUUUCCAUUUUAAUAGCAAACUGAAAUCAAAUCAGGUUACUUUGGCACAGUGAUGUUGCCUCAAAUAUAAUAGCUUACAGUUUUCCCCCUAACACUAAGAAUGACUGAUUUCAUUCAGGCAUUGACCUGGAAAGUUGACAUUUGCAACUUAAUUUCAAUAAAAUAAGUCAUGUACAAAGAGCUGACCCUCUAGAGGGUUUUCUUACCAAUGCCUGAAAGAAAGAUGAUCCCACUGUUUUAGGUGUAUUCAAAGAAAGAAAAAAAAGGUGUCUCUAUGGGUCAAAAUUUGGAGCAUGUAACACACUUAUUUAUUUAUUUUUUUGGUCGGUUUGGCUGCAUCCUGUACGCCACUGUGGCCAAGUGACACUAACAUUUCAGUAAGUAAACCUGGUCUGACUGAAAGGACUUUGCAAUGGAAGACAUACAGUGAAGAGUCCAGGCGAGUGGUCUAACUCUUGACAAAAUUCUUCAUGGAUCUGUAUCUCAAAACAAUCAAAGCUUCCAAAGGCUGAGCUCAAUGACUGUACCAGCAAGACAGCAAACUCCUAAUGGUGAGGAUUCUGCAUAUAGGAGUUAUAUAGGAGUUUCUGUACAAAUAAUAAACUGGAUUUAACACUGAAUGUAAAGUGUGAAUUAAAAUCAAAAUGUUAAAUACCAAAAAAGUGGAUAAGCAGAUGAAAGAGUAAUUUAGAUAUGAGACCUUCCAACCUUUUUUCUUUCCAACUGCUAUAAUGAUGAAUUAGCCUGCAGCUGCACAAGUCAUUGGUUUUUUGAGAUGUCAUUUUACAAAGUUAGUCACAUGUGCAAAAGAAAAUGGAUAAGUAGAGUGGGUGCGACAUAAAAGACCUGUUUUCAGAGGGAAAAUGAAUCAAAGUACAAAUCACUGCCAAAUAUGGAAGAAAGGAUAGACAGCAAAGACAGGUAUAAGAGACACACCUGUUUUGCCUUUUAUCGUCCUGUUUCAAGAAACGAUCAAUGCACAGGAUAUCAAGAAAAAGCUAAUACACUUUUACUGAGUAGUUGUGCUCCCACUGUUGGUCCUCUGUUGGCACCAGCUACUUCAAACUGAAGUGGAUCCACAAGCGCACACACUCACACAAACCAACACAGCCAACUAAGAUUAGCUGAUCACUUGACUUGUUAAACGGUCAUACCAGCGUGCUGAAGUAUCAGGAUUAAGACCAAUCUUGGUGCCAUCAUGAGAAGAAGUGGGGUCAGAACUGGCACAUUUCCACACAACAGCAGAGAUGGACUAUGGGAGAAUAUAUAUCCCUGCUUUUUUGCAGUUGUCCCACCUGAUUUCUCUCAUGCUGGAGGAGCCCAGACCA